rnacentral:rRNA from 1 species
GACGAACGCUGGCGGCGUGCUUAACACAUGCAAGUCGAGCGGUAAGGCCCUUUCGGGGGUACACGAGCGGCGAACGGGUGAGUAACACGUGGGUGACCUGCCCUCAGCUCUGGGAUAAGCCUGGGAAACCGGGUCUAAUACUGGAUAUGACUCCAUGACGCAUGUUGUGGGGUGGAAAGCCUUGUGCGGCUGAGGAUGGGCCCGCGGCCUAUCAGCUUGUUGGUGGGGUGANGGCCUACCAAGGCGACGACGGGUAGCCGGCCUGAGAGGGCGACCGGCCACACUGGGACUGAGACACGGCCCAGACUCCUACGGGAGGCAGCAGUGGGGAAUAUUGGACAAUGGGCGCAAGCCUGAUCCAGCCAUGCCGCGUGGGUGAUGAAGGCCU